rnacentral:lncRNA from 1 species
AUUUUCAUUCACUAUCUUUAAUUUUGUCCCAACCAGCUACCUGAAAAUGGUAGAAUUCCUCGAUCAGCUUGUGCCAAGAAAUAUGAAAUUAGGGAUUCCCAGGGAGUAGUUUGGAUAUGGAUGUCUCAAAGAACACUGCCUAAUAUUAACAAAAUCCCCUGGUUUGAAAACUUUGAAAGGGAAGGAUUUCGAGACAUUUCUACGACUCAUGACACCUAAUAUUAGCAAAAUCCCCUGGUUUGAAAACUUUGAAAGGAAAGGAUUUCGAGACAUUUCUACAACUCAUGAGCUCCCUUAUGACCACUCUAUUCUUCUGGAAAACCUCAUGGACCCAGCUCAUGUCCCGAUAUCACACGAUAGGACAGAUUUUACAGCAAAAAGGGAAGAUGCUGGACCACUGUUUUUCGAGGUAACAGAAAGGACU